UCUCCGUAGGUGAACCUGCGGAGGGAUCAUUACAAGUUGACCCCGGCCCUCGGGCCGGGAUGUUCACAACCCUUUGUUGUCCGACUCUGUUGCCUCCGGGGCGACCCUGCCUCCGGGCGGGGGCCCCGGGUGGACAUUUCAAACUCUUGUUAAUUUUUGUCAAAUCUGAAUCAAAACUAAGAAAUAAGUUAAAACUUUCAACAACGGAUCUCUUGGUUCUG
rnacentral:misc_RNA from 1 species